rnacentral:tRNA from 1 species
CGCGGGGUGGAGCAGCUUGGUAGCUCGUCGGGCUCAUAACCCGAAGGUCGUAACCCGAAGGUCGUCGGUUGCAACCA